UCGGCAGUGAGGCUUUGGGUGCUAAGGUCCAAGGCCGAGAGGGAAAGAACCCAGACCAUCAGCUAAGGUCCCCAAAUGUAGUCUAAGUUGAACUAACGAGGUCCGGUUGCCCAGACAGCUAGGAUGUUGGCUUGGAAGCAGCCAUUCAUUUAAAGAGUGCGUAACAGCUCACUAGUCGAGCGACCGGGCGUGGAUAAUAAACGGGCAUCAAGAUUACUACCGAAGCUAUGGAUUACAUCAUACGAUGUACUGGUAGGGGAGCAUUCUAUCGUCGGUGAAGCACUAUGGUGAUGUAGUGUGGAGAUUAUAGAAAAGCAAAUGUAGGCAUAAGUAACGAUAAGGCGGGUGAGAAACCCGCCCACCGAAAGACUAAGGUUUCCUGAUCAACGCUAAUCGGAUCAGGGUUAGUCGGGGCCUAAGGCGCAACCGAAGGGUGAAAGCCGAUGGACAACUGGUUAAUAUUCCAGUACUUUUAUAUACUGCGAUGUGGUGACGGAGUAGUGACACUGCCGCCAGCUGACGGAAUAGCUGGUUAAAAGGCGUAGGUAUUAGGACCGUAGGCAAAUCCGCGGACCUAGCUGAACCCCAAUAGUACUGCAAACCUUCGGGAGCGCAGAUAGAGCAGGUAAUCAGACUUCCAAGAAAACCCGCUAAGCUUCAGGUAUAUAAAACCCGUACCGUAAACCGACACAGGUAGUCGAGGAGAGAAUCCUAAGGUGCUCGAGUGAGUCAUGGCUAAGGAACUCGGCAAAAUGGCCCUGUAACUUCGGGAGAAGGGGCGCUGUCUCUGAGAGGAGCAGCCGCAGUGAAAAGGCCCAGGCGACUGUUUAGCAAAAACAUAUGGCUUUGCAAAAUCGAAAGAUGAGGUAUAAGGCCUGACACCUGCCCGGUGCUGGAAGGUUAAGAGGGGAUGUUAGUCGCAAGGCGAAGCAUUGAAUCGAAGCCCCAGUAAACGGCGGCCGUAACUAUAACGGUCCUAAGGUAGCGAAAUUCCUUGUCGGGUAAGUUCCGACCUGCACGAAUGGUGUAACGAUCUGGGCGCUGUCUCAGCCAUGAGCUCGGUGAAAUUGUGGUAUCGGUGAAGACGCCGAUUACCCGCAACGGGACGGAAAGACCCCAUGAACCUUCACUAUAGCUUAACAUUGAAAUUGGGUACAGGAUGUGUAGGAUAGGCGGGAGU
rnacentral:rRNA from 1 species